rnacentral:rRNA from 1 species
GUCCUACGGGAGGCUGCAGUGGGGAAUAUUGGACAAUGGGCGCAAGCCUGAUCCAGCCAUGCCGCGUGGAUGAUGAAGGCCCUAGGGUUGUAAAGUCCUUUCGACGGGGAAGAUAAUGACGGUACCCGUAGAAGAAGCCCCGGCUAACUUCGUGCCAGCAGCCGCGGUAAUACGAAGGGGGCUAGCGUUGCUCGGAAUCACUGGGCGUAAAGCGCACGUAGGCGGCUUACUAAGUCAGGGGUGAAAUCCUGGAGCUUAACUCCAGAACUGCCUUUGAUACUGGUGAGCUUGAGUCCGGGAGAGGUGAGUGGAACUGCGAGUGUAGAGGUGAAAUUCGUAGAUAUUCGCAAGAACACCAGUGGCGAAGGCGGCUCACUGGCCCGGUACUGACGCUGAGGUGCGAAAGCGUGGGGAGCAAACAGGAUUAGAUACCCCAGUAGUCG